UACACUCCUGCGGGAGGCAGCAGUGGGGAAUUUUGGACAAUGGGCGAAAGCCUGAUCCAGCAAUGCCGCGUGAGUGAAGAAGGCCUUCGGGUUGUAAAGCUCUUUUGUCAGGGAAGAAACGGUGAAAGCUAAUAUCUUUUGCUAAUGACGGUACCUGAAGAAUAAGCACCGGCUAACUACGUGCCAGCAGCCGCGGUAAUACGUAGGGUGCAAGCGUUAAUCGGAAUUACUGGGCGUAAAGCGUGCGCAGGCGGUUUUGUAAGUCUGAUGUGAAAUCCCCGGGCGCAACCUGGGAAUUGCAUUGGAGACUGCAAGGCUAGAAUCUGGCAGAGGGGGGUAGAAUUCCACGUGUAGCAGUGAAAUGCGUAGAUAUGUGGAGGAACACCGAUGGCGAAGGCAGCCCCCUGGGUCAAGAUUGACGCUCAUGCACGAAAGCGUGGGGAGCAAACAGGAUUAGAAACCCCGGUAGUCCCAUGA
rnacentral:rRNA from 1 species